UGCUUUCUUUGUCCCACUCUAUGGAGGUUCCCUAACCCACUUUAAAGACAAUGUUGUGAAUGGUAAGCAGGCUGGGGAGAGAGCAGGACUGCUGGGCUCUCACAAAACGAAUAGCCCUUUCGUGUGACAGACUAAGGGAUACCAAUUGUGUCCACGUUUGGAUUGUGCUGAAUUGAUAUUUUUUAAUAACUGCUGAGUCUUACGCACCGUGCAGUGUCUCUCCCCAUAGCACAGGUUGGUGGGAGGGGGAAGGGAGGUUUUGUGCUCUCCAGGGUAUAGUUGGAGACUCCGCUGUAAGCCUGGAAGCUUGGUUGCCAUCGAAUCCGACAAAAGAUGCGGGAUGCUGGCGUUGCUCCUAGCAACGGUUGCUAAGAGACUCCUGCUGGCAUACAGAAGGAUUGAAAUCGCUGCAGAUUAUGGCCCUAUUUAUCAUAGUUGUAUGAAUAGUCUUGUUAAGGGAAUGCAUGACAUAUAAAUUUAGUGCACGCAUGAUAGAAAUGUAACGCGCACAUCGCAAGAGGAGACGGUGUUAGAGCAGGAUAUUUGUGGCUCAUCUCAAUUGCAUUUAAGUUGUGUUUCUACCAAGGUUCAUACAGACUCUAACACUGCAUCUACAAUGACUGCACUUCCAUUUGCAGACAUAAGAGAUUUUUGGAAGUUCACAUUUGAAACCUUAUUCUUCAAGAUCAAAGUUUGGGAACUUCAAUCCCACUUCUCCCAGAGCUGAGGUUAUGAAAAAAUAAAAGAGUCAUGGAGGCGAUGUGUCAAAAAAUAAGCGCAAUUCCUUCCUGCUUUCACCAAAGAAAAUGUCUGAUUUGUGAUGUAUGUAGCCCACGCUCUGUUUAUGUUACUCUGUUCCAUAACAGACCAUAUGGAGCUAUCACAGCUGUGUAGGGCAAAGGAAAGCUCUCAACUCCACAGCAAGUUUUAUACUACCACAUUCUAGCCUGAAUCCCUCUUCACCAGCCCAUACUUAUUCUAGUUUAUCAGGUACUAAUUUGGCUUUUUUUUUUUUUUUUUUUCCUGUUCACCAGUCAAGAAUACUUUC